rnacentral:rRNA from 1 species
UACGUAGGGGGCAAGCGUUGUCCGGAAUCAUUGGGCGUAAAGCGCGUGUAGGCGGCCAGGUAAGUCCGUUCUGAAAGCCCGGGGCUCAACCCCGGGAGGCGGAUGGAUACUGCUUGGCUCGAGUCCGGAAGAGGCGAGUGGAAUUCCCGGUGUAGCGGUGAAAUGCGCAGAUAUCGGGAGGAACACCAAUGGCGAAGGCAGCUCGCUGGGACGGUACUGACGCUGAGACGCGAAAGCUAGGGGAGCGAAAGGG